rnacentral:rRNA from 1 species
GGUCAAGCUAGAAAGGGCGUACGGUGGAUGCCUGGGCGCCAGGAGGCCGAAGAAGGACGUGGCAAGCUGCGAAAAGCUACGGUGAGCCGCAAGCAGGCAUAGACCCGUAGAUUUCCGAAUGGGGCA